rnacentral:rRNA from 1 species
UACGGAGGGUGCAAGCGUUAUCCGGAUUCACUGGGUUUAAAGGGUGCGUAGGCGGGCAGGUAAGUCAGUGGUGAAAUCCCCGGGCUUAACUUGGGAACUGCCGUGGAUACUAUCGAUCUUGAAUACUGUGGAGGUAAGCGGAAUAUGUCAUGUAGCGGUGAAAUGCUUAGAUAUGACAUAGAACACCGAUAGCGAAGGCAGCUUGCUACACAGUUAUUGACACUGAGGCACGAAAGCGUGGGGAGCAAACAGG